UACGAAGGGGGCUAGCGUUGCUCGGAAUCACUGGGCGUAAAGGGUGCGUAGGCGGGUCUUUAAGUCAGGGGUGAAAUCCUGGAGCUCAACUCCAGAACUGCCUUUGAUACUGAAGAUCUUGAGUCCGGGAGAGGUGAGUGGAACUGCGAGUGUAGAGGUGAAAUUCGUAGAUAUUCGCAAGAACACCGGUGGCGAAGGCGGCUCACUGGGACGGUAUUGACGCUGAGACGCGAAAGCGUGGGGAGCAAACAGG
rnacentral:rRNA from 1 species